CGCUUCCAUGCAGUCGACGGCAGCAUAGGAGCUUGCUCCUGAUGGCGAGUGGCGAACGGGUGAGUAAUAUAUCGGAACGUGCCCUAGAGUGGGGGAUAACUAGUCGAAAGACUAGCUAAUACCGCAUACGAUCUACGGAUGAAAGUGGGGGAUCGCAAGACCUCAUGCUCCUGGAGCGGCCGAUAUCUGAUUAGCUAGUUGGUGGGGUAAAAGCCUACCAAGGCAACGAUCAGUAGCUGGUCUGAGAGGACGACCAGCCACACUGGGACUGAGACACGGCCCAGACUCCUACGGGAGGCAGCAGUGGGGAAUUUUGGACAAUGGGGGCAACCCUGAUCCAGCAAUGCCGCGUGAGUGAAGAAGGCCUUCGGGUUGUAAAGCUCUUUUGUCAGGGAAGAAACGGUAGUAGCGAAUAACUAUUACUAAUGACGGUACCUGAAGAAUAAGCACCGGCUAACUACGUGCCAGCAGCCGCGGUAAUACGUAGGGUGCAAGCGUUAAUCGGAAUUACUGGGCGUAAAGCGUGCGCAGGCGGUUGUGUAAGUCAGAUGUGAAAUCCCCGGGCUC
rnacentral:rRNA from 1 species